rnacentral:rRNA from 1 species
UACGGGGGGGCAAGCGUUGUUCGGAAUUACUGGGCGUAAAGGGCUCGUAGGCGGCCAACUAAGUCGGACGUGAAAUCCCCAGGCUCAACCUGGGAACUGCGUCCGAUACUGGAUGGCUUGAAUCCGGGAGAGGGAUGCAGAAUUCCCGGUGUAGCGGUGAAAUGCGUAGAGAUCGGGAAGAACAUCGGUGGCGAAGGCGCUCUACUGGACCACAACUGACACUCAGGGACGAAAGCUAGGGGAGCGAAUGGG